AAGCCAGACUCCUACGGGAGGCAGCAGUGGGGGAUAUUGCACAAUGGGGGAAACCCUGAUGCAGCGACGCCGCGUGUGGGAAGACGGUCCUCUGGCUUGUAAACCACUGUCCCCAGGGACGAAGAUGACGGUACCCAAAGAGGAAGCUCCGGCUAACUACGUGCCAGCAGCCGCGGUAAUACGUAGGGAGCGAGCGUUGUCCGGAAUUACUGGGUGUAAAGGGAGCGUAGGCGGGCGAGAAAGUUGAAUGUUAAAUCUACCGGCUUAACUGGUAGCUGCGUUCAAAACUUCUUGUCUUGAGUGAAGUAGAGGCAGGCGGAAUUCCUAGUGUAGCGGUGAAAUGCGUAGAUAUUAGGAGGAACACCAGUGGCGAAGGCGGCCUGCUGGGCUUUAACUGACGCUGAGGCUCGAAAGCGUGGGGAGUAAACAGGAUUAGAUACCCUAGUAA
rnacentral:rRNA from 1 species